UACAGAGGGGGCAAGCGUUAUUCGGAAUUAUUGGGCGUAAAGGGCGCGUAGGCGGCCUGGCAAGUGGAUGGUGAAAUCCUGGAGCUCAACUCCAGAACUGCCUUCGAUACUGGAGAGCUUGAGUCCGGGAGAGGUGAGUGGAACUGCGAGUGUAGAGGUGAAAUUCGUAGAUAUUCGCAAGAACACCAGUGGCGAAGGCGGCUCACUGGCCCGGUACUGACGCUGAGGCACGAAAGCGUGGGGAGCAAACAGG
rnacentral:rRNA from 1 species